AGGUCUGAUGUAGCUUGUCUUGACCUUAUGUGGAAAGCAGCAUCCUUUACUGGCAUGGCUGCCAUGUGCUAAAUACUCUGCAUUGCUGCAGUGACAGAGGUGUGUUCUGAUGUCUUUAUGUUGCUGUGGUAUCUGAAAGCCACGGGCCAUUAGUCAGGUGACAGUUUGUGCCUAGAUACUGCUGUGAUUGAUGCCCUAUAAAUACUUGAGAGGAAAGAGGUGAGAGGGAGAGGGAUAGGCAGAUAGAAAUGCCCUUAUUCCAGGAGUUGGCCAUCAUGUGUAUUUGACAUAAAAGUUAAGGCGAAAAAAAUUAAUUCUAAUCAACUGAACUCAGCACAAUAAAAAAGAGGAACUAAACUAGAAAGCUCCCUUUCUUGAAUUGUGACAUCAAUAGUAGCCGAUUAAAAUCGGCAGGACAUACUUGGGCAUGUGGAAUUAUUAGAGCAUACAAAGGGAAGAGCCUCUCUGAGGUUUAAAGUGUUAUGUUAGGACCCAGGACUUGAUCACCCCGAGGACUUCUUAUGCCACUGUAGUCAAGUCACUUAUUGUAUGGGAACUGUUGAGUCAUGGCCUGAACCCUCUGAUUGAUCACCUGAGGCGAGCCAUGAGUCAGCCAGAGGAGCACAGGUGAAGGCAAUCCUAGACCUAUUUAAGAGCUGGCUACCAGUGGGGAAGGAUCUCUUCUGGAGAUCUGCUCUACUGGAGUUUUGUAAAUGAGCCAAGGAUAUAGGGAUCAGAAGAUCCAGGUUGGAGUCACCCUGGGCUCAUAUGAGUGCCAGCCACCGAAGAGAGAGUAUCUCUUGCACCUAGGCUGCUUCCUGAGGAGUGCUGCAGAGCCAGAGAGCGCCUUCUCCAGUUGGAACAACUGGCAAGCUAAAUUCUAUUCUGCUCUUGACUGCUUUGAAUGUUGCUGCUUGAUGUUGACCUGAU